CGGCAACAGCUCAAAUUUGAAAUCUGGCGUCUUUGGCGUCCGAGUUGUAAUUUGCAGAGGGCGCUUUGGCAUUGGCAGCGGUCCAAGUUCCUUGGAACAGGACGUCACAGAGGGUGAGAAUCCCGUACGUGGUCGCUAGCCUUUACCGUGUAAAGCCCCUUCGACGAGUCGAGUUGUUUGGGAAUGCAGCUCUAAAUGGGAGGUAAAUUUCUUCUAAAGCUAAAUACUGGCCAGAGACCGAUAGCGCACAAGUAGAGUGAUCGAAAGAUGAAAAGCACUUUGGAAAGAGAGUUAAAAAGCACGUGAAAUUGUUGAAAGGGAAGCGCUUGCAGCCAGACUUGCCUGUAGUUGCUCAUCCGGGUUUCUACCCGGUGCACUCUUCUAUAGGCAGGCCAGCAUCAGUUUGGGCGGUUGGAUAAAGGUCUCUGUCAUGUACCUCCUUUCGGGGAGAACUUAUAGGGGAGACGACAUGCAACCAGCCUGGACUGAGGUCCGCGCAUCUGCUAGGAUGCUGGCGUAAUGGCUGUAAGCGGCCCGUCUUGAAACACGGACCAAGGAGUCUAACAUCUAUGCGAGUGUUUGGGUGUCAAGCCCGAGCGCGUAAUGAAAGUGAACGGAGGUGGGAACCUUUCGGGGUGCACCAUCGACCGAUCCUGAUGUCUUCGGAUGGAUUUGAGUAAGAGCAUAGCUGUUGGGACCCGAAAGAUGGUGAACUAUGCUUGAAUAGGGUGAAGCCAGAGGAAACUCUGGUGGAGGCUCGCAGCGGUUCUGACGUGCAAAUCGAUCGUCAAAUUUGGGCAUAGGGGCGAAAGACUAAUCGAACUAUCUAGUAGCUGGUUCCUGCCGAAGUUUCCCUCAGGAA
rnacentral:rRNA from 1 species